ACAAGCUCACGAAACAAAUUAGGGCAUGAGCACAAAUAAGAAAUUUAACCCUAAAAUCAUUUUGGUUUUCAUAUUUUGCAACUUCUGGAAGACUCCUCUGGCCGACAUGCAUGUUAGGGUUUGAAGUGGAGCUCGAAAAUGAGAUUUUUCUACAUGAUCUUUUUGGUUCUCAAUUGAUAAUAGUUGGGUCAUCUCAUGGAGCGGACAGCGGGAUUCUUAGAUCUACGAAGCUGACUAGAAGACCUUUUUGCAGAACUCAUCAACCUAUUCAGGCAAUGAUGGGUUCUUUCUUUCCCUUCUUCCUACAUUCUUUUGUUCCUUUUGUGUUUGCUUUUCUAUGAUCGAUGUGAUCUUUUCUCAGUUAUUCCUACGGCUUGUGUGGGAUCUUGUGAAUAGUUUGUUCUUUAUAAAUAAAGAUGUAUUACAUGCA